rnacentral:rRNA from 1 species
UACGUAGGGUGCGAGCGUUGUCCGGAAUUAUUGGGCGUAAAGAGCUCGUAGGCGGUGUGUCGCGUCGGUCGUGAAAACUUGGGGCUUAACCCUGAGCUUGCGGUCGAUACGGGCAUCACUGGAGUUCGGCAGGGGAGACUGGAAUUCCUGGUGUAGCGGUGAAAUGCGCAGAUAUCAGGAGGAACACCGGUGGCGAAGGCGGGUCUCUGGGCCGAUACUGACGCUGAGGAGCGAAAGCCAGGGGAGCAAACGGG